rnacentral:lncRNA from 1 species
ACAGGUCAACCACGGGAAGCCAAUACAUACAUAUAUGGUUCAAAGCUACAAUCUUACAUGUAUAAAGUUGUUGAAAUACAUCAAGUAUUCAAACAAAGACCUUGAAAGCCGUAUUGGUUCAGAAUCCACAUUUUAAAUUCCACUAAUAUUGAUGAGUCCUUUCACAAAUACUAUACUCCUGCAUGCAUGCAUGCAUGCACUCAAGCUUCCAGGACUGCUGAGUACAAGUGCGUCCUACACAUUGUAAAGAAAAUUUUUUUUAUUACAUAUAUAUAUAUCAUUAAUUAACUUUUAUUUGGUGCUUUAAUUCCUAUAUAUAUUUUUUUAGUCGAUAGUUAUUUGGAAAAAUAGAGAAGAAUUGAGCCAUGGUCAACAGGAAUUUCUUAACAAAGCAUGAUUUGUCAAUUCAUCUAGCAGAUAGCUGGUGUUUACAUGUAAACAUACACAAACCCCCUAUUUUCAACAUGCUUCCAUAUACGCACAGGGCGAAUGGCAACCUAAUUACGACCAAUUCUCUUCUCUCCUGGCUUAAUUCCUUCAUCUUAUCCCCACCAUUUAAAUCUGCGUUUUAAUUUAAUGCCUGCUAAUUUCCUAAAAUAAUGGAGGAAAUUAUAAUGCCAACCAGGCAAACCUAGAAAAUGAGAAUCUUCUGAUUGAUUAGUACUGAAGUACUUGAUUACUAGGGAAAAAUAAAUUAAAAAGAAAUUACAAAAAUAAAAUAAAAUUAGCAACUUGGAAAGUCAACGGGGGACUUUAAAGUCAUAAUAAUGAAGACUCCAAAAAAGAUCUUCCACUUUGAUAAACCUGUGUUGCUUUUAAGGUUAAGAUCUAUACAGAACUCGAUCGGAAUAAUUAGGGAAUCCAGUUAAUUCUACGAGGUUUAUGUUUAUGCCAUUACAGCUUGAUCAUGCUCCACUCUAACCUUAAAACUCCAGAAUAAUGAGCUAGCUACUACCUCAAUUUCUGCUAUUUUAUUAUAAUUUAUAAUUUAUAUCCACAUGCACAUCAAUAUCACUAGAGAGAGACCUGGCAUGAGGAGGAGGAAAUUGACUUUAUUAAAUUUGAAUUAUCAAAAGAAUAAUCUGAUAAAAUCAUUCAAAACAACUUCAAUCAUCAAUCAUGCCUUGUUUAAUUUUUUUACAGUAAUUUUUUUUUAUAUACCUCGUUUCUAGAAUGCCCAUUAGCUGUUUUGGCCUUUUGGGUCUAUGCUUGGUACGCGUUCAACUUGUUUGACUCGUUUGAUAUUUUGUAAUAAUAAAAAUAAUAAAAAUAUUUUUUUAAUUAUAAUAUUCUAUAGUUGAAUUACAUAUAUUGAUUUUCUAGAAUUGUAUCUUAUGUAACUGUAUGCUAAUUUUCAUAAAGUGUAUAUAUAUAUAUAUAUAUAUUCCAAAGCCAAGGUGUGCAUAUACAUCUGGAUCACACUCACAUUACAUAAAUCCAGGCCUUGAUUUUGGAAGAAGGAUAUGAUAAUAUAAUGUAUAGAUGAACUCAAUGCUGCAUCAUGACAAAAAUACCAUAUUCAAACUCAAAACUUGAUAAUAUAUAUUAAAGACUUGGAAAUUCUAGAAAGGUAAUAAUUUUGUAAUGUAAGGCAAAGAAGAUGAUUAUUUCUUGUACCUUUUUGAGAGUUUGAAGAGAGCAAUCGAUCAAGUUUUUGCAUAAGUUAAUUUGAACAGAUAGCAGAUCUUGGUAGACUAACCCUUGGACUCUCAGCCCUUCCACCUCUUUAAGCUACCCAAGCAUCAAAGUUUAAACAUAUAAUAUAUAAAAAUAAUAAUAAUAAUAAUAACAAUAGAGGGGAGAAUGACCUAAUCCCAAUAGAGAAGGGCAAUGAAUAUCCAUGAAUCAUAAAAGCUCACGUGCCCUAAUGCAUGUAUAUUCUUCUUUUUUCUUGGAUUUCCUUACUCAAAUAAGAUUCAGUUUUGAUACUCAAGCCUCCACCAAACGAUGCCCUAGAUCCCAACUCUUUCUCUAAUUAAUAUAAUCAAGAAACAUGAAAUAAUAAUAAUAAUAAUUAAUGUUUGUUGAGGUUUUCUUAUAUUAAUUAUUGAUGAGAAGUGUUGAUCACUUUAUUAGAUUAAGGGGAAAAAAAAAAUAAAGACGGUGAAAUCUUAUCCAAGGAUAGGGAUAGGGAUAGGGAAGCAGAAAAUGACGACAUUAUGGCUCUACAACGUUGUGAAAUGAACUAACCCUUUUAUAAUUAAUUAUGCAUAUAUUGAUUUCUGCAUGCCACAUUUUUUAUAAUUUAUUUGGUUUUUUUUUUGUAGAAAAAGACUUCAAAAUAAUGGAGAAUGUGGCUCUACAGUUGCUCCAAACUAAAUUACCCCAAAAAUAUUAGUAAUAUAUAAUAUAAAAUAUAAUAUAUAGUGUUAAGAAAAAAAAAAAAAAAAAACUCACAAGCAGAAUCAGGUUAGAGAGUUUUGGUAGGAGGCAGGGUAGGGUCCUAUGAAGCAUGGGGCGGUACUUGUUAAAUAUUUUUCAGUUUUAUUUUAUUUUAUCUUAUUGUUCUAAUUAAGUCCCUUAAUGCAAUUCCCUAUUGGUAAUGGAGCAUGGGGCGGUACUUGUCUCAUCUUUUUCUUAUUGCAAUAUUUAAUAUAAUUUCUCCAUUUUUCACACAUCUUCAAAGAAAAUUUAAUAAUGUUACUAACUUUAUUUUUUUUAAUUAUCUAAUUUAAUAUAUUUUAAAGCAAAAAAUAUACUGAAUUUCAGUUUAAUUAUAUACUAGUCGUCGUUUUAAUGCUUCUCCAUUUUCACAUAUGCAUGUUAUGUCAUUUUAGACUUUUAAAGCAAUACCCCCAAAGAAAAAUGUCACAUAAUGAUUGAAAAUUAUAAUGGUCAAAUUAUUUGUCUUUAUUUGAAGAAAAACGAGUCUUAGUUAAAAUUAUAAACCACAAAUAUAUUGAUGGAAGAAAUUAAAAGUUGAAUAAAUUUUUUAUUUUUACUAUUUUCUCUUCAUAAUUAUUAGUUAUAAAUGUAAUUCUGCUUUUCAAUAAAGAUUACAACAUUUUGGAAUUAUAAUAUUAAAUAAUAAGUUAAUGCUUACUUAAGGCAUGACGUUAAGAAUGAAUUGGAAACAGAAGCAGGAUUGAUUUGCCAAAGUCUUACUGUAUCAACAAUAACAAAUUGCCUUAAUCACAAUCAAUUGUCAACAUAUCCUGCAUAAAAUAUGGGAUACUCAAUUAAUUUCCUACAUCAAUAGAAUCUCCGGCGAGAUUGCACUCCCCUAAUUAUCAUUUUAAUAAAGGAAGCUGCUCAAGUAAUAGCUAGGAGGGAGAGAGGGUAGAAAAAUAAAUGAAUGCGGCCUAUAGAAGCCGUCAAGCCAAAGAAAAAUACUUGUGAUUUAUUAAAAUUAAUGAGUGAGAGGGAGAGAAAAUAAUAAAUUAAAAAAAGUCAAUAUAAUUAAUACAUAAAAUCAUUAAUUACACGAGGAGAUGAGGGGAAAAAAGUCAAAUGAGAUGGAGAGAGAAAUUCAAGCGUGGGCUUUUGGGCGUUGACUCUAGAGCUCUUAUUUUGUUAAGAUUAAGAUUAAGAACCUCUGGCCAUCAAUAAAUAAAUAUAUUUAGAAUCACCAGCAUACAAAUGGCCGCCAAGAGCUUCACACCAACUAAGAAAUUUAUUUAAUUCUUAUUAUUUUUGCACCAUAAAUUGCUAAAAGAAUGCCGACCGCCAUAAAAAUUGACAAGGGGGGUAACGCUUAUAACCAUAAAUCUUUUUGCAGGCGCCUAGGAUUAUUUAACAACAAUAAUUUAUUCAUAUUAAACUACCAUUUAAGUUUCAAUCCUUAACGAAUAAAAGAAAAAAAAACUGACAAGCCAUGAAGUGAAGAGUACAUGUGCUAAUCAGGCAAUAGAUUUUACUCGGAAAAAAAAAUGAAGUAAUAGAUUCGACAUGCCAAUUAAGCUGACAAGUCUUUCCAGCUCAGCAACGAUACUGUAUGCGCUGUUUGUCAUCACUACAUUAUGAAAAUGAAUUGUACUUUCUGAUUUGAUUCGAAAACGCUUAAUAAUAUAGGUACCUAAUUAAUUAACAUCUUUUUCAUAGGUGGCCUGCAUUAUUUGAUUCAAAAUUUAGGAAAAUAAAAUACCAUCAAUAUAUGAUAAUGAAGAAUUAAUUAAAAGAUAUAGAAAACUUAUCUAGUUACAAAGGAAGCCGACACUGGAAGCUGAUUGCAGGCAUGGUCUUUGGAUUUGGAUUGAAAUUUGUCAUCUUCAGUUAUUAGAAGAAUACAACGGAAGGCAAUGCAUGGAAGAGACUGAUUUAUAUAUAUAUAUAUAUAUAUAUAUGGAUUUGAAUGGGUCACGUACAGCAACCGGAAUAGCCAAUCGGCCGGCCAAAGGACGUAAUACAUAGUGCAGACUUUUAAUUCAAA